CACAAGCGGUGGAGCAUUUGGUUUAAUUCGAAGCAACGCGCAGAACCUUACCAUCCCUUGACAUGGCAUGUUACCUCGAGAGAUCGGGGAUCCUCUUCGGAGGCGUGCACACAGGUGCUGCAUGGCUGUCGUCAGCUCGUGUCGUGAGAUGUUGGGUUAAGUCCCGCAACGAGCGCAACCCACGUCCUUAGUUGCCAUCAUUUAGUUGGGCACUCUAGGGAGACUGCCGGUGAUAAGCCGCGAGGAAGGUGUGGAUGACGUCAAGUCCUCAUGGCCCUUACGGGAUGGGCUACACACGUGCUACAAUGGCGGUGACAGUGGGACGCGAAGCCGCGAGGUGGAGCAAAUCCCCAAAAACCGUCUCAGUUCGGAUUGCACUCUGCAACUCGGGUGCAUGAAGGCGGAAUCGCUAGUAAUCGUGGAUCAGCACUCCACGGUGAAUACGAUCCCGGGC
rnacentral:rRNA from 1 species